rnacentral:rRNA from 1 species
UGGGGAAUCUUGCGCAAUGGGCGAAAGCCUGACGCAGCAACGCCGCGUGAGCGAAGACGGCCUUCGGGUUGUAAAGCUCUGUCAGGAGGGACGAAGCCACUCGGGUGAAUAGCCCAGAGGGUGACGGUACCUCCAGAGGAAGCCCCGGCUAACUACGUGCCAGCAGCCGCGGUAAUACGUAGGGGGCAAGCGUUGUCCGGAAUCAUUGGGCGUAAAGCGCGUGUAGGCGGCCGAACAAGUCCGAUGUGAAAGCUCGGGGCUCAACCCCGAGUCUGCAUUGGAAACUGUGCGGCUAGAGUCCGGAAGAGGAGACUGGAAUUCCUGGUGUAGCGGUGAAAUGCGCAGAUAUCAGGAAGAACACCGGUGGCGAAGGCGGGUCUCUGGGACGGUACUGACGCUGAGACGCGAAAGCGUGGGGAGCAAACA